GGCUGUUUUUGACAAUACAAUGCACAAAUAUUGUGUACUAGCAUCAUUAAGUCAUGCUGAAUUACUGAAAUCUUCCCAAUUUCAGCAUUUUAGUUAAAUUUUAGACGGUUUCCGUGUUAAAUGAAAGUGGCCGCAUUCGUGUUCAUUCUUAAUAUUGAAAUAUAAGUUGUAUUUUAUGAUAAUACAUAACAUAUAUAAAGGUUGUGGAUGAACACGGAUGCGGCAACUUUCAUUUUUGACAAAAACAUCUGAUAAGUGACAUUUUUGGGCAUAUUUUAUAGAUUAUUCAUAUUUCAGCAAGAAUCGGAUCGUUUUUAAUGAGUAAAUCAGUUAAAAUCUUUCCCAUAAACUUAUUGAAGCAACUGAAAUAGACACUUAAGUGUUUAAAAAGUGUCUAAAAUCUUUCGUCAGAUGAACUUGAAAUUUGAGGCCAAAAUCAGCCCUUACCGGACCUACUCCUUUG
rnacentral:lncRNA from 1 species